AUGAGAAUUUAAAAACAAAGGCUGAAGCAUCCAUCAUGAUGGGCAGACGGAAGGAGACAGGAAGCUAAGCCAGCUGAGUGUGUGCUCAACCUGUCACCCCUCCAUGCUACGUGGCCUCCUGAAGCCCAAAGUUGGCAGCAAAGAGAUAACAGACCUGCUUGGCUUGGAAGGAGGUUUCCAAAUGGGGAAACUCAAUAGUAGUUCCCCUGUGCCACCACUCUGGGCCUUUUAAUGCCAAGAAAGAAUUCAGCCACAGAAGACCUUGGUGAUGGUGGCAGACGUGCAGAAUGAUGGAGGACGUGCAGAAACCAUGGUUUCUGCACGUCCUCCGCCCACCCAAACCCUUCAGUAGCACUAAAGUUCGUGGACUGACUGAUGUCCCGUUUCUGUCCUCCCUGCCUUCCCUCUUGUGUGAUCAACUUGACAAUGUUGGGCUCUGGGCAUGCCUAGGGGAGGUUAUUUUGAUUAUGUUAAUUAAGAUGGAAAGACACACACACACACACACACAC
rnacentral:lncRNA from 1 species